AACGAACGCUGGCGGCAUGCCUAACACAUGCAAGUCGAACGAUGCCUUCGGGCAUAGUGGCGCACGGGUGCGUAACGCGUGGGAAUCUGCCCUUGGGUUCGGAAUAACUCAGAGAAAUUUGAGCUAAUACCGGAUGAUGACGUAAGUCCAAAGAUUUAUCGCCCAAGGAUGAGCCUGCGUAAGAUUAGCUAGUUGGUGGGGUAAAGGCCUACCAAGGCGACGAUCUUUAGCUGGUCUGAGAGGAUGAUCAGCCACACUGGGACUGAGACACGGCCCAGACUCCUACGGGAGGCAGCAGUGGGGAAUAUUGGACAAUGGGCGAAAGCCUGAUCCAGCAAUGCCGCGUGAGUGAUGAAGGCCUUAGGGUUGUAAAGCUCUUUUACCAGGGAUGAUAAUGACAGUACCUGGAGAAUAAGCUCCGGCUAACUCCGUGCCAGCAGCCGCGUAAUCUGUAGUCGU
rnacentral:rRNA from 1 species